GUCAAGCGAACAAGUGCAUGUGGUGGAUGCCUUGGCGAUCACAGGCGAUGAAGGACGCGGUAGCCUGCGAAAAGCUACGGGGAGCUGGCAAACGAGCUUUGAUCCGUAGAUGUCCGAAUGGGGAAACCCACUCCUUUUGGAGUAUCCAUGGCUGAAUACAUAGGCCAUGCGAAGCGAACGCGGUGAACUGAAACAUCUAAGUAACCGCAGGAAAAGAAAUCAACCGAGAUUCCCAAAGUAGUGGCGAGCGAAAUGGGAUGAGCCUUGCACUCUUUAUUUGUAUUGUUAGCCGAACGCUCUGGAAAGUGCGGCCAUAGCAGGUGAUAGCCCUGUAGGCGAAAACAGUAUGAAAGAACUAGGUGUGCGACAAGUAGGGCGGGACACGUGAAAUCCUGUCUGAAGAUGGGGGGACCAUCCUCCAAGGCUAAAUACUCGUGAUCGACCGAUAGUGAACCAGUACCGUGAGGGAAAGGCGAAAAGAACCCCGGGAGGGGAGUGAAAUAGAUCCUGAAACCGCAUGC
rnacentral:rRNA from 1 species